rnacentral:rRNA from 1 species
GAUGAACGCUGGCGGCGUGCCUCAUACAUGCAAGUCGAACGCGCAGCGAAAGGUGCUUGCACCUUUCAAGCGAGUGGCGAACGGGUGAGUAACACGUGGAUAACCUGCCUCAAGGCUGGGGAUAACAUUUGGAAACAGAUGCUAAUACCGAAUAAAACUUAGUAUCGCAUGAUACAAAGUUAAAAGGCGCUACGGCGUCACCUAGAGAUGGAUCCGCGGUGCAUUAGUUAGUUGGUGGGGUAAAGGCUUACCAAGACGAUGAUGCAUAGCCGAGUUGAGAGACUGAUCGGCCACAUUGGGACUGAGACACGGCCCAGACUCCUACGGGAGGCAGCAGUGGGGAAUAUUGCACAAUGGGGGAAACCCUGAUGCAGCGACGCCGCGUGGAGGAAGAAGGUCUUCGGAUUGUAAACUCCUGUUGUUGAGGAAGAUAAUGACGGUACUCAACAAGGAAGUGACGGCUAACUACGUG